rnacentral:rRNA from 1 species
AUUGAACGCUGGCGGCAGGCCUAACACAUGCAAGUCGAACGAGUGGCGGACGGGUGAGUAAUGUCUGGGAAAAUGCCCGAUGGAGGGGGAUAACUACUGGAAACGGUAGCUAAUACCGCAUACCAUCGGAUGUGCCCAGAUGGGAUUAGCUAGUAGGGGGGGUAACGGCUCACCUAGGCGACGAUUCCUAGCUGGUCUGAGAGGAUGACCAGCCACCCUGGAACUGAGACCCGGGCCAGACUCCGACGGGAGGCAGCAGUGGGGAAUAUUGGCCAAGUGGCUGAAGCCUGAUGCAGCCAGCGCGGGGGUAUGAAGAAGGCCUUCGGGUUGUAAAGUACUUUCAACGAGGAGGCGUUACUCGCAGAAGAAGCAUCGGCUAACUCCGUGCCAGCAGCCGCGGUAAUUC